GUAGGGCGCAAGCGUUGUCCGGAAUUAUUGGGCGUAAAGAGCUCGUAGGCGGCUUGUCACGUCGGUUGUGAAAGCCCGGGGCUUAACCCCGGGUCUGCAGUCGAUACGGGCAGGCUAGAGUUCGGUAGGGGAGAUCGGAAUUCCUGGUGUAGCGGUGAAAUGCGCAGAUAUCAGGAGGAACACCGGUGGCGAAGGCGGAUCUCUGGGCCGAUACUGACGCUGAGGAGCGAAAGCGUGGGGAGCGAACAGGAUUAGAUACCCUGGUAGUCCACGCCGUAAACGGUGGGCACUAGGUGUGGGCAACAUUCCACGUUGUCCGUGCCGCAGCUAACGCAUUAAGUGCCCCGCC
rnacentral:rRNA from 1 species